rnacentral:snRNA from 1 species
UUGCUCAGGCAGGCAGUACAUAUGAAAAAUUAGAAUGGAUACAGAGAAGAUUAGCAUGGCCCCUGCGAUAGGAUUACACGCACAUUCGUGAAUCAGGCUCCUUAGAU